rnacentral:rRNA from 1 species
UGAAUACGAGACGCUAAGGCGUCGAAGUAGUGUAUGUCAUACUUCCAAGAAAAGCUUGCACUGUCAUAGAUAAAAAACGCCUGUACCAUAACCGACACAGGUGGGUAGGUAGAGUAUACUAAGGGGCGCGAGAUAACUCUCUCUAAGGAACUCGGCAAAAUAACUCCGUAACUUCGGGAGAAGGAGUGCCUUAUUCGUAAGGUUGCAAUAACAAGAUCCAAGCAACUGUUUAUCAAAAACACAGGUCUCCGCUAAGUCGUAAGACGAUGUAUGGGGGCUGACGCCUGCCCAGUGCCAGAAGGUUAAAGAAGUUGGUUAGCAAUUGCGAAGCUGAUAACUGAAGCCCUGGUGAACGGCGGCUGUAACGAUAACGGUCCUAAGGUAGCGAAAUUCCUUGUCGGGUAAGUUCCGACCCGCACGAAAGGCGUAAUGAUUUGGAUACUGUCUCGGAGAGGGGCUCGGUGAAAUAGACUUGUCUGUGAAGAUGCGGACUACCUGCACCAGGACAGAAAGACCCUAUGAAGCUUUACUGUAACUUGAAAUUGAAAUUGGACUUUAUUCGCGCAGUAUAGGUGGGAGGCGUUGAUUAUAAUCUUGUGGGAUUAUUGGAGCCAUCAGUGAGAUACCACUCUUGUAAUGUUAGAUUUCUAACUUUGAAUCAUUAUCUGGUCAAAGAACAGUUUCAGGCGGGCAGUUUGACUGGGGCGGUCGCCUCCUAAACGGUAACGGAGGCGUACAAAGGUUUCCUCUGAACGGUUAGAAAUCGUAUCUAGAGUGUAAAGGCAUAAGGAAGCUUGACUGUGAGACCUACAAGUCGAGCAGGGACGAAAGUCGGUCUUAGUGAUCUGACGGUACUGAGUGGAAAGGCCGUCACUCAACGGAUAAAAGUUACUCUAAGGAUAACAGGCUGAUCUCCCCCAAGAGUUCACAUCGACGGGGAGGUUUGGCACCUCGAUGUCGGCUCAUCGCAUCCUGGGGCGGUAGUACGUCCCAAGGGUUGGGCUGUUCGCCCAUGAAAGCGGUACGCGAGCUGGGUUCAGAACGUCGUGAGACAGUUCGGUCCAUAUCCGGUGUAGGCGUUAGAAUAUUGAGAGGAGCCUUCUUUAGUACGAGAGGACCGAGAAGGACAUACCUCUGGUGUACCAGUUAUCGUGCCAACGGUAAACGCUGGGUAGCUAUGUAUGGAGUGGAUAACCGCUGAAAGCAUCUAAGUGGGAAGCCCACCUCAAGAUAAGUAUUCUCAUC